rnacentral:piRNA from 1 species
UGUGCUGACUUUGGUGCUAGACUCUCUCC